GACAGUGCUGAAACUAUGCUUUUGAUCUGAAUACCCACCUAAUGCAAAGGUCAGAGAGCUGAUGCUGAGGAUGACAGCUUCCAAGAUGUUUCAAAGUGAGAACCUCAAUUGCUGCUCCUGGGCUCAGUGGGAGAGAAGCCUGGUGUGAGUGUGAGUGAAGGAGCAAUGAAUCCAGGAGGCUUCCCUUGUGUGGUGAAGAUCAACAACUACUGAUAGAGGACACUGCAUCAAAAGAAAGCAGCAUGUGUAACAGCAGUAAGAGUAAGAAUCAGCCUUACCCUUCUCACUCCUGCAACUCCAUCUGCUGAUCACUCAUAUGAGAGCUCUAACAUCAGAGCUGCCUCUGAGCAUUAUUGAAGAUGUGGAACAGUGAAAUCUUUUUUGUCAAGCCUCCAAGAGCAAACAGCAGCAGAGAUGAGAUUUUG